GUCCCGUGUGGCUCAGUUGGUAGUUGGUAGAGCAUGGUGCUUGCAACGCCAGGGUUGUGGGUUCGAUUCCCACGUGGGACC